rnacentral:lncRNA from 1 species
GAAGCAUGUAGACAAUGCCAUUUUAUGCCAGUGCUUCCCUUACAAAGACACCUAAAAAGGUACCGAUUCCUAAGGCCACUGAAAACCUUGGAUCUAUGGAAAAAGACUAGUCCCUCUUCUAAGAAAUUCCUGUCAUGGAGAGAGGGCCCUACACCUUGCCUGGGCAAUACAGUAGAGCUGGACCUGAUAGCAAAGGCAUGAGUGAGAGAGCCCCAAGGGUGUGAGAGUAGAAGAGCUGUGUUAGCCCAUCACAGGCUGCAUCACUUGGGAGAGUAGGCCAUGUAGUUUAAUGAGCAGCAGUGGAGCUGACUCUGGAGGUUGAGGGUGCAAAUGAGCUAGCUCUGAAAUCAUGAGCACAGUAGAGUAGACAUUGCCUCCUGCUGAUUGCAGCAUUAGAUGGCAUACCUGGAACAGUGCUGGAGAGCUAGCUCAUCCUGGUAGUGUGGAGUAUGGAGAGCCAGUGGGCUGACCAGCUCAUUUACCACCCAGGCUCAGAUUUGAGUCUUUGAGUGGGCCCACACCAAUAUUUAUACCUUCUGCGAACUGUUGGGGCAUGUGAAAGGGCCACUCCUGCUGAUCCAAAGCUGUAGGAUCUCCAUGACACAAUGCAGCAACAGGAUAACCUGGCGGAGUCCCAGGGAAGAACCACUGUGGAUGUCACAGAAGCCAGAGAUCUCAAACCAGGCCAAUGACUCAUUGCAAUGAACAUGCCCAAGUGAAGAUGUAUGGACAGAGGGACAGAGGAACAAAGGGAUAGAUAGACACUGUGACAUACUACAGUGUCCACAAUGAGGUGUUUUCUAUACUUUGUUUUGUUUUGUUUUGUUUAUUUAGUUGUGUGAUUUUUAUUUUACAGUAGGUUGCAAGGGUGGAGGGUGGAUAUGGGGGGACACAGAGAUGAAUGGGGCUGGGGUGCAUGAUAUAGAACUCAGAAAGAAUCAAUAAAAAUGU